rnacentral:ncRNA from 1 species
AAUGGGUAUGUUGUCGCGGUUUCUUUACGAUACGACGUUGUUGAACUAUUGACAUGAACGUGAGCUCUAAAGUGGGCCAUUUUUGGUAAGCAGAACUGGCGCUGUGGAAUGAACCAAACGUUAGGUUAUGGUGCCAAACUUUUCGCUCAUAAGAUCCCAUAAAAGGCGUUGGUUGAUAUAGACAGCAGGACGGUGGUCAUGGAAGUCGGUAUCCGCUAAGGAGUGUGUAACAACUCACUUGCCGAAUCAACUAGCCUUGAAAAUGGAUGGCGCUUGAGCGAAUGACCUAUACAUAACCAUUGUUGGCAUGUGAAAUGAUUAAUCGAGUACGCCUGGCCACAAUGAGUACGAGGGUCGUAGCGGUUACGUUGAAGGCGUUAGGUGUAGACCUAGCUGGAGCUUCCGUUAGUCUGGUCAGAUCUCGGUGGUAGUAGCAAAUAUUUAAGUUCGAUCCUUGAAGACUGAAGUGGAGAAGGGUUCCACGUGAACAGUAUCAUAUCACUAAGAGAGAAAAGUUACUAUCUUUUCAUUCAGAUAUCGAAAGGGAAUAGGGUUAAUAUUCCCUAACGUAGACACAGAGAUUAUGAUUCGUAUGAAUCAUUUGCGCGGUAAUGCCUCCGAACUUGGUGAACGUCGCUCAAAAACCGAGCUAGAGUUUUCUUCUCUAAUUAAGGAACGGACUUCCUGGAAUCGGUUCAGCCGUAGGUACGGACGUUAUUUCCGUAAAGUAUCGCGGUUUCUGUGAUAUCUCGUGUUUUUUGGACGAUCCAUGAAAAACUAAGUGAGGCUAUUAAUCUGUGCUACAUCGUACCGAUAUCCGCAUCAGGUCUCCAAGGUGAACAGCUUCUAGUCGAUAGAAUAAUGAAGGUAAGGGAAGUCGGCAAAUUUGAUCCGUAACUUCGGAAAAAGGAUUGGCUCCGGUGACCGGGUCGAUUGGCCUGUUAGCUGAUGCUUGUACGGAUUUAUCCAUGACCGAUGUCAAAACGUUAUGUAUACGUGUAUACGUAUACGUAUAUGUGAUGAUAUUGGAUUAGUGAUAAGAGCGUCUUGCGGACAUUUAUAGGUGUGUGCUUUGUUUUCGAAUUAAGUAUCCUGAUCGGCCAUUGUAACGGUCGAACUGGAACUGGUACGGACUCGGGAAAUCCGACUGUCUAAUUAAAACAGAGGAGACAGAUGGUUCUUG